AUUGAACGCUGGCGGCAGGCCUAACACAUGCAAGUCGAACGAGUGGCGGACGGGUGAGUAAUGUCUGGGAAACUGCCUGAUGGAGGGGGCUAACUACUGGAAACGGUAGCUAAUACCUCAUACCAUCGGAUGUGCCCAGAUGGGAUUAGCUAGGAGGUGGGGUAACGGCUCACCUAGGCGACGAUCCCUAGCUGGUCUGAGAGGAUGACCAGCCACACGGGAACUGAGACACGGUCCAGACGCCUACUGGAGGCAGCAGUGGGGAAUAUUGCACAAUGGGCGGAAGCCUGAUGCAGCCAUGCCGCGUGUAUGAAGAAGGCCUUCGGGUUGUAAAGUACGGUCAGCGGGGAGGCGUGACCCGCAGAAGAAGCACCGGCUAACUCCGUGCCAGCAGCCGCGGUAAUUC
rnacentral:rRNA from 1 species